UACGAAGGGGGGCUAGCGUUGCUCGGAAUCACUGGGCGUAAAGCGCACGUAGGCGGACUCUUAAGUCGGUGGUGAAAUCCUGGAGCUCAACUCCAGAACUGCCUUCGAUACUGGGAGUCUCGAGUUCGGGAGAGGUGAGUGGAACUGCGAGUGUAGAGGUGAAAUUCGUAGAUAUUCGGAAGAACACCAGUGGCGAAGGCGGCUCACUGGCCCGGUACUGACGCUGAGGUGCGAAAGCGUGGGGAGCAAACAGG
rnacentral:rRNA from 1 species